CAAGGGGACACGAACCGAGAAUACCGGAGAAGCACAAAUCCUUAGCGCAUGUGAGCGGACAAGAUAAAGCCCUACCUGAUGCUCGGCCUCCAUUGGCAUUUUCCGGUAUAUCGUGUCUUUUUUUUUUUUUUUUGCGGGGGAGGGGUAUAUGGUGGAGUAGCUUUUUCUUCUAACAGUGUUCUGGCCGAAUGGCGGCCCCGUGAAGCCAUGGCGUAUGCGCUGGCUUUGUUUCUUCCUCCCGGCUUGAUGCCUUUAGGGAGGCAGCUAUUCAGCUUCAGUAUGGAGUCUUCCUCUUCCGUCUUCGGCCGGAGAUGGAGUGGUGGCGAUCCGGUGAUCCCAAGCGGUCUUGUCCCCGGUGAUGGACGGACUGGAUCUGUGCUUGAGCUGACAUUUGGACCCAAUUGUAAUCUUGAUGCAAGUUUCAGGGACUAUGUUGUAGUUUUAUUUUCCUUUGAGUCCUGGUCUGAGCUUUGUACUGCAGCUGCUGGAAAAUAAAUAUAUAAAUGGUGUCAUCUCCAGCUCGCCAUAAGAAUGCGGCCUCUCCGUUCAUUUCAUCCCCAGGACGGACAACCACCUAGCUAGAACCUAGGCGCGCGAGUAAGUUGGCUGCCCCCGGAUAUCGCCCAUUGAGGAGCAGCUGCUGAGUCCAGGCUUCAUCUUGCCUGCAAGGAACAAAUACGGAUGAGCUAGGAAUAUGAUGGACAUCCAAGAUAUCCGCGAUGGUGUGUCAUCUCUGUUCAUCAUGCUGAACAAGGAGACAUUCGUGCUGUUUCGGAUCGAGUUUCUUGUGGUCCUGGUCACACUCUUGUUCCUCUCGAUGUUCAUCAUGGACGUCUUUCGUCGCCACAUCCGCAACAGAGUCAUGAAAACCAUCUUUAGCAUCUUGGAUGCCGUCUCUGACUCUAUUAUCUUAUACCUGCUGGGGGCCAUGCAAACAGCCAAGUUCAAGAAUCAGCUGUUCCCAGUCUGGGCCCUUGUGCUUGUUAGUUUCCGUUACAACGUCGACUUUAUCUCUGGCUAUGGUGUUGAUGACCGCCAUGGGCGACGGUUCAUGGAGUGGAGGAAUGUGGUGAAACUUCUGGGAUCGGCGUUCUUGAACUGGUCACGUGGCUCAAGGUUCACACUUCCACUCUGGUCGCUUUGGGCUCUGCAGAUACUAAGGAGCUUUGUAUUGUCUUGUUUGAGAAAUAUAAUUCGGAAUUUUGAACUGACCUGAACUUUACCGGCUUCGUCAAUGAAGCAUAAUUCA